GAUGAACGCUGGCGGCGUGCCUAAUACAUGCAAGUCGAGCGAACGGACGAGAAGCUUGCUUCUCUGAUGUUAGCGGCGGACGGGUGAGUGACACGUGGAUAACCUACCUAUAAGACUGAGAUAACUUCGGGAAACCGGAGCUAAUACCGGAUAAUAUUUUGAACCGCAUGGUUCAAAAGUGAAAGACGGUCUUGCUGUCACUUAUAGAUGGAUCCGCGCUGCAUUAGCUAGUUGGUAAGGUAACGGCUUACCAAGGCAACGAUGCAUAGCCGACCUGAGAGGGUGAUCGGCCACACUGGAACUGAGACACGGUCCAGACUCCUACGGGAGGCAGCAGUAGGGAAUCUUCCGCAAUGGGCGAAAGCCUGACGGAGCAACGCCGCGUGAGUGAUGAAGGUCUUCGGAUCGUAAAACUCUGUUAUUAGGGAAGAACAUAUGUGUAAGUAACUGUGCACAUCUUGACGGUACCUAAUCAGAAAGCCACGGCUAACUACGUG
rnacentral:rRNA from 1 species